UUUAUGGAGAGUUUGAUCCUGGCUCAGGAUGAACGCUGGCGGCGUGCCUAAUACAUGCAAGUCGAGCGAACGGACGAGAAGCUUGCUUCUCUGAUGUUAGCGGCGGACGGGUGAGUAACACGUGGAUAACCUACCUAUAAGACUGGGAUAACUUCGGGAAACCGGAGCUAAUACCGUCUUUCACUUUUGAACCGCAUGGUUCAAAAGUGAAAGACGGUCUUGCUGUCACUUAUAGAUGGAUCCGCGCUGCAUUAGCUAGUUGGUAAGGUAACGGCUUACCAAGGC
rnacentral:rRNA from 1 species